GUCGGUGGUCCCUGGGCGGGGGUCUCUAUCCCGGACGAGCCCCCAAAUGAAAGACCCCCGAAGAGGUACUUUCGUAGAAGGAGACCCGUACCCAAGAAUCAGCGAGACCA
rnacentral:pre_miRNA from 11 species